UCCCGUUGAAGGUUACUCACUUCCUGUUUUCCGUAUUUAGACAAUCUGGGCCUAUUGGGAGCUUUGAUUUUUUUGUAAACUUCAGCUGUUUUAAACGUUAAGUCGCGGGAGACUGAGGUAAGGGGAAGGAGGGGGAAAGGCCUGGAGACAAAUUAGGGUUAUUUAAUCCCAGGGCUGUGUUCUCUCUGCAGUGUUCUGGUGACCAUUAGAGCAUGUGAAAGGAAGGUCAGGGGCUGACAGCAUGGGAGAUGGCGAGAGGGCUGCUUCACAAUGGGCCCGGGCUGGAGGCGCUGCGUGCGGCUCUGCGUGUGCGUGGGGCUCUCCGUGAGGCUGUGUGGUCAGCGCUUGGAAUCAGCCGGGGAAUGUACUCCAAUGAUUAAUGUCUCCUGUGUGUCAUCUGUGCCACAAACAGCUGUAUGGAGGUGCAAAAUCCAGUAGGGAUUGCCUUGAGAUCACCCUAGCAGUAUAACCAGCCACCAGAAUGCCAAUGUGGACCAGUGGGAGCGAACUAAAGAACCAGAGACAAAAAUCACAACUAAAUAGACAACAAAAUGUCCCAGGCUAAUUUCCAAGGGGAGAUGCCUCACCUCAAAAUAUCCCUCUCUGCCCUGCCACAGUUGGUCCUGAUUUGACUGUCUCUGCAGAGGAGCCAAGGAUCAAAUGCUCCAUGGCGCCAGACUGUUUUCUUUUGCAGCCUGCAGGUCACCAGGAUACUUAAGAAGUUUGCGUUAAUUAUACCAUGUUUGCCAUCAAAGAGGGGAUAUUAACCCUUUCGAGCUCUUGCAGGAAAGGAGUGGAGCCAUUUGAAAGAACUGCUGAAGCCCCCGCUCAGAGAAGCACGCUCCUCCGGGCGCUGGGGGAUGCACCACCCCUCCUGACAGCCUGAUGGAUUAUGGCCCCAGUUCUGUCAGUGGAUCCAACC